rnacentral:rRNA from 1 species
GAUGAACGCUGGCGGCGUGCCUAAUACAUGCAAGUCGAACGAAACUUCUUUAUCACCGAGUGCUUGCACUCACCGAUAAAGAGUUGAGUGGCGAACGGGUGAGUAACACGUGGGCAACCUGCCCAAAAGAGGGGGAUAACACUUGGAAACAGGUGCUAAUACCGCAUAACCAUAGUUACCGCAUGGUAACUAUGUAAAAGGUGGCUAUACUACCGCUUUUGGAUGGGCCCGCGGCGCAUUAGCUAGUUGGUAGGGUAAAGGCUUACCAAGGCAAUGAUGCGUAGGCGAAUUGAGAGGUUGAACGGGCACAAUGGGACUGGGACACGGGCCAAACUCCUACGGGAGGGAGGAGGAGGGAAUCUUCCACAAUGGGGGGAAACCUGAUGGGGGAACGGCGGGGGGGUGAAAGAGGGCCUUGGGUCGGUAAACCCUGUUGUUAGAGAAGAAAGUGCGUGAGAGUAACUGUUCACGUUUCGACGGUAUCUAACCAGAAAGCCACGGCUAACUACGUG